rnacentral:lncRNA from 1 species
AAAGAUGUAUAGUGGUUCAGUGCACCCCAGCACCUACAUCCACUUCCCAAGACCUCUUGGGAAUUUCACUAUAAUUCCUCAGAUGACAGUCGGUUGUUUUACAAGCUCACAACCCAACUUGUUGUUUUGCGAGAUCCCAACGAACUCGGUCGGUUUUCACAGGCUCACCAACUAGAACCAACCGAUUGUUUUCACGGGCUCACAAUCCAACCCAGUUGGUUUUUCCAAAGGCUCACCAACCACAACCUUACAACGAUUAUUUUCCGGGUUCACAAUCAACCCAGUUGGUUUUUCCAAAGGCUCACCAACCACAACCUUACAACGUUGGUUUUUUCUUUGGCUCACCAACAAUCCUUAACCCCUUGAUUCAAUCCCUUGAUUGAAUCAAGUUACAAGAUAUUAGAACAAGAAUUUAAAUCAAAUACAAGCUUCUCAAAUAAGCAAAUAUAGCAAAUAUAAACAAGUAAAGUAAAGAGAAGAAGCCCUCAAACAAAUUUGUAGAUGAAGGAACUCGGCUUCUUCUUUACUUGACCCUCUUCUUAUUUUGCAUGAAGUAGAGGAUCACCGAGGCAGCACACAGUUGGAGAGGUAGCUUUGGGAUUCACUUGGAUGUUCUUCUUCUCUCUCUUUUACUUUGAAUGGCCCUUUUGUGCUUUUGGAAGAUUUCUCUUGUAAUCUCUUUGAAAUCUCUUCCCUAAAUGUUCUCUCCCACUUCCAUACCUUCUCCCCUAGCUCUUCUCUUGAUUUUAUAGCUUUAGAUGGCAUGGAAACAAAAAUCUAGCCGUUAGAGACAAAAAUAGAGCCGUUGGAGUCAAGAAAAAACUAGCCGUUAUGCCU